rnacentral:rRNA from 1 species
UACGGAGGGUGCAAGCGUUAUCCGGAUUCACUGGGUUUAAAGGGUGCGUAGGCGGGUUGGUAAGUCCGUGGUGAAAUCUCCGAGCUUAACUCGGAAACUGCCGUGGAUACAAUCAAUCUUGAAUAUCGUGGAGGUAAGCGGAAUAUGUCAUGUAGCGGUGAAAUGCUUAGAUAUGACAUAGAACACCAAUUGCGUAGGCAGCUUACUACACGAUCAUUGACGCUGAGGCACGAAAGCGUGGGGAGCAAACAGG